AAAUAAAGUCAUAUGCAAAAUCAUUUUCCCUUUGGACACAUGAAAUCUGAAAUUCAUAGGAAAAAAGCUUUGUAUUUGUCUUGUACAGUUCAGCUGGCUUGAUUUAUUUUACUAUGGGAAGAAAGUUCCGACCAUUAGAUUAUUAUUGGUUCAUUACUGACUAAUGAAAAUUGUAAAAUUAAAUGAAAUGAACAAAAAGCUAACAUUUUUCAGUGAAAAUGUUAAAAAGACAGCUUCCCAAGAAACAUCUAGGCCUAGAAUUCCAAAGUCACCUGCAUAGUACAAAACAAAAAUUGGGGGAAAAAAAAACCUGCUUAGUUGUAGUAGUGAUUACUUUUUGAAUAAAAGAGACCUAACCAACUCAUCUAAGAACUUGGCCAAUCCACCUCUGUAUGUAGUCCAUGCCGCAUCAUACGAAAAACUGGCAUGUACGGACAAUCGUGAUCUCACGGCCCAUUUUGAUGAUUCAUAAUUAUACAUUUCCAAAAAGAAAGUUAUUAACUAAUAAAAAACAAAUAAUUAAGUUAAGUACAAGACAAGGAGACCACUGAUGGGACUUGAAAUUGUAGUAUUUGUUGACUUGACUGUAAUCGAAUGGAGUUUAUGCAGCA
rnacentral:misc_RNA from 1 species